rnacentral:rRNA from 1 species
CGUGUAGGCGGUCUUUUAAGUCUGAUGUGAAAGCCCUGGGCUCAACCUGGGAAGUGCAUUGGAAACUGGAAGACUUGAGUACGGGAGAGGGUAGUGGAAUUCCCAGUGUAGGAGUGAAAUCCGUAGAUAUUGGGAGGAACACCGGUGGCGAAGGCGGCUACCUGGACCGAUACUGAUGCUGAGACGCGAAAGCGUGGGGAGCAAACAGGAUUAGAUACCCUGGUAGUCCACGCCGUAAACGAUGAGUACUAGGUGUCGCGGGUAUUGGACCCCUGCGGUGCCGCAGCUAACGCAUUAAGUACUCCGCCUGGGAAGUACGGUCGCAAGACUAAA